CCUUACCUGGUCUUGACAUCCACAGAACCUGGCAGAGAUGCCGGGGUGCCUUCGGGAACUGUGAGACAGGUGCUGCAUGGCUGUCGUCAGCUCGUGUUGUGAAAUGUUGGGUUAAGUCCCGCAACGAGCGCAACCCUUAUCCUUUGUUGCCAGCGGUCCGGCCGGGAACUCAAAGGAGACUGCCAGUGAUAAACUGGAGGAAGGUGGGGAUGACGUCAAGUCAUCAUGGCCCUUACGACCAGGGCUACACACGUGCUACAAUGGCGCAUACAAAGAGAAGCGACCUCGCGAGAGCAAGCGGACCUCAUAAAGUGCGUCGUAGUCCGGAUUGGAGUCUGCAACUCGACUCCAUGAAGUCGGAAUCGCUAGUAAUCGGAAUCAGA
rnacentral:rRNA from 1 species